rnacentral:sRNA from 1 species
CAAAAGCAAAUUGUGCAUUGGGGGAGGAAAUGUGAGAUUUUGGAGUCUGAUUCUCCAGAAUCCACAAGAAACUGGAUUCAGUGGCUCACUCACAUCUGUAAUUCCAGCACCCCAUUAUGAGGUGGGAAGUUCGGGGAAUUGGCCUGGAUGCUCUAGGGACAGCCAGCUUGGAGUAGCAGAAACAGCUUCCGUGCAGAGAUCAGAGAACAACUUUUGAGAGCGGGUCUUGCCCUUCCAUCUUGUUGAGACUUCUAGCUGUGUAGAUGGCAUCCCACAAUCCAUGUGCUGUGUGGACUAUGCUUUCUCUCUCCAUUGCAAAAUCACCUGUGUGGCUGCUCCAGGGACAGGAAGGAGAGCACAGGAUACCUCCUAUGUGUGCUUCACAGGAGGCACACUUACGACUAAUUCCUAAUCUGCGUAUUAGAAUCAGCUCAUUAAAGGAAGUCGGUGAGCACAGUCUUUGUCCUGGGAAGCAAUGUGCACAAUCGAUAUCCAGGGCACCUAUUACAAGUAAAGGAGAGAAGAUGAAGGUGAGGGGACCAUCACCAGCCUCUGCCAGCAGCUCACCGCUUGCCGUCCCUGUGCGCUGAAGACACACCUUCUGCCCAGGUCAGUCCUGCUGACCACGACAUGGGCUUGCUGAAUUUCUGUUGUAGAAACUUGAAGGGAGGUUAUACUUUCCCUUGGAGACUCUGCUCAAGUUCCCUUGAAGUAAGGAGAAGGUUCUUAGAAUGCUCAGAAUAAGACUAGUUUUGGCAUCGCUUUACUUUUUGUUUCUUAAGGAGGUAAAGGUUUGGACCCAUAGCGUCACUGUUGCUUGGCGCUGGGACAGAAUGUCAUGGCAGCAGGAGUGUGGUGGAAAUGCUCCUCACUUCUCCGUAGACAGAAAGGGGAGAAAAGUGGUAUUUUAAAAAUCAUGUCUGUGUGUUUGUGUGGGUAUUUGCACAGGGACGCAAUGCCCACAGGAAGUAGCAGACAGUGUUAGAUCCCCUGGAGCUGGAGUAACUGUGGGCUGCUUGACAUGGGUGAUCCCAAGGAACUCAGACCCUCAGCAAGAGCGACACACACCCUUCACCACCAAGCCAUCUCUCCAGUCUGCAGGGCUUUUUUAAUUUUUAAGUAAGAUUUUAUUUUCCUUCUUUGAAAGUAUAACAGACAUGGUCACACUGCAGGCAAAGACAGUAAAGAUGGUCAGGGAACCAGAGAACAUUCUGAGGACUGGUUAGGUCACCUGCGUCAUGGCCUCUAGCAACACGUACCAGCACACGAGAUAGAAUGAGACAUACCUGUUUCCCCUUUGAAAGUAAUUAAAAAAAUAAAAAGCAGGACCUUGGAAAUUUUGGUUCUUUUCUUUCCCGCCCUGCGGCAGGCUCGUGUGGUGGUGCUGUGGGAGUGGUAGAACUUUCAGGUGGUGAGCGUUAAGUGAGCUGGUUAAUUUUCAUAUUUGGUGACCACAUUUAGAUUCAGAGAUGGGAAGUAGAGGUGAAGGGGUCACAGGGGUCUUUGGUUUUGAAGUUUAACUGUGUGCUUUGCCAGCUGUCCACUCUAAUGGAUCUUCUGCUUCCUGCCGUCAGCAUCGUUCCCAUCUACAGAGCCGUCUUUGUCCACAGCAGUCUCUGCUCCUUUGCUACACACCACCCUCUUCAUCAUGGUGGGCAGCUUUGACUGUGUUCUCGGAUUCGGGCUGUUAGGAAUACUCGUGUUGACUGGGUGGGUUUGUAUGCACAGGCACGAAACUCUGCAGUGUGUGAUUGUCUAGCUUAUGCAAGUAGUGGCAUUUUAAGAGAAUGCUUACUUCCCCCAUCUGGGAACCUUGAAUAGCACAAUAUGAUCAAGUGGAGAGAGAGAGAGAGAGAGAGAGAGAGAGAGAGAGAGAGAGAGAGAGAGAAAGAGAGAGAGAGAGAGAGCGCCUGUGUCCAGUCUUCUGUAAAAUUUCAGUCUCAGAACUUUACAACAGUUCCUCCUGUGUGGUCUCUUACCAGAGGGGAAUGUAAGAGGUCACACUGUGUUUCUCUAGAGUCCGCCUAGAAUGUCUUUCUGCCUCUCAAAUCUGGGGUGUAUCUUUUUGAUGUUAUAGGUUAUCCAUGGAUACAGGCACAUGCUGAGCCUUCUGGAUCCGUCAGGAGGAAUCCUAUUGUGCAGGUGCUCGAGGAACCCUGAUAUAGGCCAACUCAAGACUCAGCUCUAUGGAGUCAUCCUCCUGCCUCCAUUAUAGCCUUUAAGAUUGCUCUUCUAUUCCUGAUCAUAUAGAUAUUGGGGAUUUUUAAAUAUACAAAUCAUAAGCUGUCCUAAAAUUUUAGGUAUUUUUACAAGACAAUCUGGAGUUUUUCUCACCAUAUCAAUGGAUAGUUAACUUGGGAGAAAAAAUAGGUUUUCAGAACCAGGAUGGUGAAACACAUCUGUAAUCCUAAUACUCAGGAGGCUGAGGCAGAAGGAUCAUGAGUUCAAGUUUAGAUUGUGCUACAUAGCAAGUCUCCACCUUCAACAACCCCAAAAUAAAUCAACGAGACUUCUGAAAUGAUUGUAUCUUGGUGUUAUGUCUUGAUUUUGCUCAACAGUAGAAAUAAAAACCUAUUCAUUCCAACUACCAGACAUCCAUCUUCUUAAAUCAGAACUCAGGAGACAGACCCUACCCCCUCACCCUGCACACCCAGUCAGGUGUUUACAGGUUGCAUGAUUCUAGGCCUGGCUAGGAGGUUGGAGCUAUGUGGGGAGCAUCAAGACUUGCUGUCCUCACACUGCCCUGCUUCCCAGCCAGUGAGAGUUCUCUGGAGUGACAAAGCAAGAAUCCGCCAGCGGUAGCACGGGAGUUUAUUAUCAAGUUGCUGCCUGAGAAGGGAUGCAGGGUGGUGAAGGCAGAGGAGAA